UACUCCUACGGGAGGCAGCAGUGGGGAAUAUUGGACAAUGGGCGCAAGCCUGAUCCAGCAAUGCCGCGUGAGUGAAGAAGGCCUUAGGGUUGUAAAGCUCUUUCGCCCGCGACGAUGAUGACGGUACCUGGAGAAUAGGCUCCGGCUAACUCCGUGCCAGCAGCCGCGGUAAU
rnacentral:rRNA from 1 species